rnacentral:lncRNA from 1 species
AUAGACAUCUCCGAUCAGAGUAGGAAUGGGAUUCCUCUGCAUAAAUAGCCUAAUAGCAUUCAUGUCCACAAAGUUCUUCUGAUUAGGAAACAGGAUGAUCCCAUAAAUGCCCACAGCAAUCACAGCACAAACCGUCUUCCAACUACCCGCAGCAGCAUAUUCCUUGGCUUUGGCCUCCAAGAAACUCAAAUGAAAACCCG